rnacentral:rRNA from 1 species
UAACACGUGGAUAACUUGCCCUUGGGUCCGGGAUAACCCCUGAAAAUUGGGGACAAUACCGGAUAGGGCAUCGAUAGCUGGAAUGCGCGAUGCCAAAAGCUGAGGCGCCCAAGGAUAGGUCUGCGGCCGAUUAGGUUGUUGUUGAUGUAAUGGAUCAACAAGCCUGCAAUCGGUACGGGUUGUGAGAGCAAGAGCCCGGAGAUGGGUUCUGAGAAAAGAACCCAGGUCCUACGGGACGCAUCAGGCGCGAAAACUUUACAAUGUGCGAAAGCACGAUAAGGGAACUCUGAGUGCCUCCUAUGGAGGCUGUUCAGGUGUCUAAAAAGCACUUGAAGUAAGGGCUGGGUAAGACCGGUGCCAGCCGCCGCGGUAACACCGGCAGCCCAAGUGGUAGCCACGAUUAUUGGGUCUAAAGCGUCCGUAGCCGGCCAGGUAAGUUUUUUGGGAAAUUUAACCGCUCAACGGUUAAGCUUUCAGGGAAUACUGCUUGGCUUGGGACCGGGAGAGGUCAGAGGUACUCCAGGGGUAGGGGUGAAAUCUAUUAAUCCUUGGGGGACCACCGGUAGCGAAGGCGUCUGACCAGACCGGGUCCGACGGUGAGGGACGAAGGCUGGGGUCGCGAACCGG